GAUGAACGCUGGCGGCGUGCCUAAUACAUGCAAGUCGAGCGAACGGACGAGAAGCUUGCUUCUCUGAUGUUAGCGGCGGACGGGUGAGUAACACGUGGAUAACCUACCUAUAAGACUGGGAUAACUUCGGGAAACCGGAGCUAAUACCGGAUGAUAUUUUGAACCGCAUGGUUCAAAAGUGAAAGACGGUCUUGCUGUCACCUAUAGAUGGAUCCGCGCUGCAUUAGCUAGUUGGUAAGGUAACGGCUUACCAAGGCAACGAUGCAUAGCCGACCUGAGAGGGUGAUCGGCCACACUGGAACUGAGACACGGUCCAGACUCCUACGGGAGGCAGCAGUAGGGAAUCUUCCGCAAUGGGCGAAAGCCUGACGGAGCAACGUCGCGUGAGUGAUGAAGGUCUUCGGAUCGUAAAACUCUGUUAUUAGGGAAGAACAUAUGUGUAAGUAACUGUGCACAUCUUGACGGUACCUAAUCAGAAAGCCACGGCUAACUACGUG
rnacentral:rRNA from 1 species